UAAAUCGCUGAAGUGAAAACGCGGGGGAACCAAUUUUGUGAAGCAUUGCUUCUUGGGGUGAAUCCAUUGAUAAAUGGUAAGGCUACUUAUGGUCUGAAUCCGACAGCUAACCUCGUAAGCGUUCGUAAGGAG
rnacentral:sRNA from 1 species